rnacentral:misc_RNA from 1 species
AUGGAAAAACCCAUGCUGUGGUCCGGAUACGGGGGGCUGUCGCUGGCAUCUGCAUCUGUAUACGUACGUGCACGCUCCACGAGAAGGACUUGGCAUCCCAUCUACUUCUCACACACCCUGUGCACAACCGGCAAGGCUUCGGCCUGCGGUCAAUCUGCAGGAUAUUGGGGACAUGAAAUCCCCCCUUGUGAUUGCCGCCGCGCUGUCCACCUUGCCCAUUCUUUACAUGCCCCUUUAAAUUACAUGUUAGAACGGUGUUUCACGUGUGAUCGUCUCACACGAAACAAAUA